UACGAAGGGGGCUAGCGUUGCUCGGAAUCACUGGGCGUAAAGCGCACGUAGGCGGCUUUCUAAGUCAGGGGUGAAAUCCUGGAGCUCAACUCCAGAACUGCCUUUGAUACUGGAGAGCUAGAGUCCGGAAGAGGUGAGUGGAACUGCGAGUGUAGAGGUGAAAUUCGUAGAUAUUCGCAAGAACACCAGUGGCGAAGGCGGCGCACUGGUCCGGUACUGACGCUGAGGUGCGAAAGCGUGGGGAGCAAACAGG
rnacentral:rRNA from 1 species